UUGGCGGUGCGUCUAAUACAUGCAAGUCGAGCGCUACUUCGGUAGAGCGGCGAACGGGUGAGUAACACGUUGGAACCUGCCUCGAACUCAGGGAUAACAUCGAGAAAUCGGUGCUAAUACCGGAUAGUCCCGCAAGGGUAAAGGUUUUUCGGUUCGAGAGGGGCCUGCGUCCUAUUAGCUAGUUGGUGAGGUAAUGGCCUACCAAGGCGAUGAUGGGUAGCUGGUCUGAGAGGAUGAUCAGUCACAGGGGAACUGAGACACGGUCCCCACUCC
rnacentral:rRNA from 1 species